AGCAUGUUGUUUAAUUCGAUAACCCACGACAAAUCUUACCACUUCUUGUAUAUUAUUUAUCUUAAUAUAUAAAAAUGUUUAUAUUAUUUUAAUAUAAUAAAGAGUAUAUUAUCAAAAUAAUACAGGUGUUGCAUGGCUGUCUUUAGUUCGUGUUGUGAAAUGUUAGGUUAAUUCCGAUAACGAACGCAACCCUUAUUUUUAAUUAUAAAUUAUAAAAGUAAAUUGUGUAAUUUAAUUUAAAAAAAUAUCUUUCUAUAAGAAAGAGUAAUUAGGAUGAAGACAAGUCCUCAUGACCCUUAUGAAGUGGGCUACAGACGUGCCACAUAGAUUUCAACAAAAGGAUGCAAAGAUGAAAAUUAGAGCUAAUCCUGAAAUAAAAUCUUAGUUCGGAUAAGAGUCUGAAACUC
rnacentral:rRNA from 1 species